rnacentral:rRNA from 1 species
UACGUAGGGUGCGAGCGUUAAUCGGAAUUACUGGGCGUAAAGGGUCUGUAGGUGGCCAACUAAGUCAGACGUGAAAUCCCUCAGCUUAACUGGGAACUGCGUCUGGGACUGGAUGGCUUGAGUGCAGGAGAGGAACGCGGAAUUCCAGGUGUAGCGGUGAAAUGCGCAGAGUAUCAGGAGGAACACCGGUGGCGAAGGCGGUCUCUGGGCAUUACCUGACGCUGAGGAGCGAAAGUGUCGGGAGCGAACAGG